GGGUGAGUAACGCGUGAGUAACCUGCCCUGGAGUGGGGGACAACAGUUGGAAACGACUGCUAAUACCGCAUAAGCCCACGGAUCCGCAUGGAUCUGCGGGAAAAGGAUUUAUUCGCUUCAGGAUGGACUCGCGUCCAAUUAGCUAGUUGGUGAGGUAACGGCCCACCAAGGCGACGAUUGGUAGCCGGACUGAGAGGUUGAACGGCCACAUUGGGACUGAGACACGGCCCAGACUCCUACGGGAGGCAGCAGUGGGGGAUAUUGCACAAUGGGGGAAACCCUGAUGCAGCGACGCCGCGUGGAGGAAGAAGGUUUUCGGAUUGUAAACUCCUGUCGUUAGGGACGAUAAUGACGGUACCUAACAAGAAAGCACCGGCUAACUACGUGCCAGCAGCCGCGGUAAAACGUAGGGUGCAAGCGUUGUCCGGAAUUACUGGGUGUAAAGGGAGCGCAGGCGGACCGGCAAGUUGGAAGUGAAAACUAUGGGCUCAACCCAUAAAUUGCUUUCAAAACUGCUGGCCUUGAGUAGUGCAGAGGUAGGUGGAAUUCCCGGUGUAGCGGUGGAAUGCGUAGAUAUCGGGAGGAACACCAGUGGCGAAGGCG
rnacentral:rRNA from 1 species